GAUUGAACGCUGGCGGCAGGCCUAACACAUGCAAGUCGAGCGGUAACAGAAAGUAGCUUGCUACUUUGCUGACGAGCGGCGGACGGGUGAGUAAUGCUUGGGAACAUGCCUUGAGGUGGGGGACAACAGUUGGAAACGACUGCUAAUACCGCAUAAUGUCUACGGACCAAAGGGGGCUUCGGCUCUCGCCUUUAGAUUGGCCCAAGUGGGAUUAGCUAGUUGGUGAGGUAAUGGCUCACCAAGGCGACGAUCCCUAGCUGGUUUGAGAGGAUGAUCAGCCACACUGGGACUGAGACACGGCCCAGACUCCUACGGGAGGCAGCAGUGGGGAAUAUUGCACAAUGGGCGCAAGCCUGAUGCAGCCAUGCCGCGUGUGUGAAGAAGGCCUUCGGGUUGUAAAGCACUUUCAGUCAGGAGGAAAGCGUGGUGGUUAAUACCCAUCAUGUGUGACGUUACUGACAGAAGAAGCACCGGCUAACUCCGUGCCAGCAGCCGCGGUAAUACGGAGGGUGCGAGCGUUAAUCGGAAUUACUGGGCGUAAAGCGUACGCAGGCGGUUUGUUAAGCGAGAUGUGAAAGCCCCGGGCUCAACCUGGGAACUGCAUUUCGAACUGGCAAACUAGAGUGUGAUAGAGGGUGGUAGAAUUUCAGGUGUAGCGGUGAAAUGCGUAGAGAUCUGAAGGAAUACCGAUGGCGAAGGCAGCCACCUGGGUCAACACUGACGCUCAUGUACGAAAGCGUGGGGAGCAAACGGGAUUAGAUACCCCGGUAGUCCACGCCGUAAACGAUGUCUACUAGAAGCUCGGAGCCUCGGUUCUGUUUUUCAAAGCUAACGCAUUAAG
rnacentral:rRNA from 1 species